AUUCUAACAAUAACACAUGAAAAUGAUAUCAGGAUCACAAACGUCGACGGCUGUUAAAGUGAUCGAUAUACGGUUUGUGAUGGUUCCAGUCAAAUGGCGAUCUUAGUGGGCCCUAUAUGUGGGAGAUAUGUAUAUUUCAUCGAUGAGAUCAACACAUUAAUGUCAAAAGCACAUCAAUUGUGAAAUAAUACGUUGAGCAGAAAAAUUUGAUGUCGACUAGAAUUUUGUCGGGUUAGGAAGGAUAUGGUGUGUAGUGUGCGGUUUACAUUCACUUCCUUCUAGUUUUGGAAAAUGUAAAUAAAAGUACGAAAGUGAAAUUUCAUAGAGAUGAAUUACAUGUUGAAAAAGACGGUUGAAAACAGAAAUUAGAUAGUUAGUGCAAAGACUUCUGUACCUUUUCAAAAUGGCGGAAUCUGCUGAACAUAAUUAUGGUGUUGGAAUUCUGUCCAUUUUCUAUCCAGAUCAAAGAUGAAGUCGACAGUUUUGUUUAAUGCGAAAUCAACAGAGAUUAUCCUUACCAAGAGAAGCUCUGAAUGACUUAUAUCUGCCAUCUCUGCACUUGAUACAAAGACAGAAACAGUAUGCAUUUAUUGCAUGAUAAUGAGGACGAUAUGAAGACCUAUUUAUCCAAGGAAAUUAUAUUCCCCGGGGGCAACGCUUCAUAUCUCCCAAACAUUCGUCCAAUAAAUUGUUUAUUAUACCGACACAAAGUCAGGCUACAGAUUGCGGAGGAAAACAUUCACAUGUAGCUGAGGUCGCCCUAACGAUAGCACCAUCAACAUUUAAGAAGGACAAUCAUCUUGUGUUUCCUUUCUCCUUGAAUGCAAUGUCAAGAUAUCUUUUUGCACCUUACAAAGAAUGAUUUAUUCACUUACGGGAAAUGACUCGUAUUUAUUGUAACGUCACUCUGAAUCGCAUAGCUGGAAACAUGAUGAUUUGUUGAAAGACAAGUAUGACGAUCACGUGACCAUCUCGACCAAUUAGAUUCCCUUUCCCUAAUGAUUAAGAGGUAUGGUAAUCAUAGUUGUUUCACGAGUACUUAAAGGUCUUUCCAUGAUUUUGCAGCGGAUAAAUCUUUUCAUUCUCAA